GGGCUCUUGGCUUAGGGGUAUAGCGCCCGUUUUGCAUAUACAUGUGAAAUUACGGGAGAUCGGGGGUUCGAUUCCCUCAGAGUCCA